GUCUGGAUUCCUACCAUGGCCUGGGCCCUUCUGCUGCUCACGCUGCUCACUUACUGCUCAGAUUCCAGCUCUCAGCCUGUGCUGACUCAGACGCCCUCGGUAUCCGUGUCCCCCGGAGAGAAUGUGAGACUGGCCUGCACCAUGCCCUCAGGUUACAGCAGUCCCAGCUACAGAGUGGAAUGGUACCAGCAGAAGCCAGGCAGUGCCCUGCGGUUCGUGUACCACUAUCAUACUAGCAGUAGCCAGGGCAGGGGCACAGGGAUCCCAGCACGAUUCACCGUCUCCCCUGACACCUCCAACAACCUCUGGAAUUUAGUCAUCUCUGGGGUCCAAGCAGAGGAUGAGGAUGAGUAUUACUGUGCCACAUGGGAUGGUCGUAGUAAGACUCAUCACAGUGAUACAGUGAGAUAG